UGGGGAAUAUUGCACAAUGGGGGAAACCCUGAUGCAGCGACGCCGCGUGAGCGAAGAAGGCUUUCGAGUCGUAAAGCUCUGUCCUAUGAGAAGAUAAUGACGGUAUCAUAGGAGGAAGCCCUGGCUAAAUACGUGCCAGCAGCCGCGGUAAUACGUAUGGGGCGAGCGUUGUCCGGAAUUAUUGGGCGUAAAGGGUACGUAGGUGGUUUUUUAAGUCAGGUGUCAAAGCGUGGAGCUUAACUCCAUUAAGCACUUGAAACUGAAAGACUUGAGUGAAGGAGAGGAAAGUGGAAUUCCUAGUGUAGCGGUGAAAUGCGUAGAUAUUAGGAGGAAUACCGGUGGCGAAGGCGACUUUCUGGACUUUUACUGACGCUCAGGUACGAAAGCGUGGGGAGCAAACAGG
rnacentral:rRNA from 1 species